UACGUAGGGUGCAGGCGUUAACCGGAAUUACUGGGCGUAAAGCGUGCGCAGGCGGUUCGCUAAGACAGGUGUGAAAUCCCCGGGCUUAACCUGGGAACUGCAUUUGUGACUGCAUGGCUGGAGUGCGGCAGAGGGGGAUGGAAUUCCGCGUGUAGCAGUGAAGUGCGUAGAUAUGCGGAGGAACACCGAUGGCGAAGGCAAUCCCCUGGGCCUGCACUGACGCUCAUGCACGAAAGCGUGGGGAGCAAACAGG
rnacentral:rRNA from 1 species